rnacentral:rRNA from 1 species
ACUCCUACGGGAGGCAGCAGUAGGGAAUCUUCCACAAUGGGCGCAAGCCUGAUGGAGCAACACCGCGUGAGUGAAGAAGGGUUUCGGCUCGUAAAGCUCUGUUGUUAAAGAAGAACACGUAUGAGAGUAACUGUUCAUACGUUGACGGUAUUUAACCAGAAGGUCACGGCUAACUACGUGCCAGCAGCCGCGGUAAUACGUAGGUGGCAAGCGUUAUCCGGAUUUAUUGGGCGUAAAGAGAGUGCAGGCGGUUUUCUAAGUCUGAUGUGAAAGCCUUCGGCUUAACCGGAGAAGUGCAUCGGGAACUGGAUAACUUGAGUGCAGAAGAGGGUAGUGGAACUCCAUGUGUAGCGGUGGAAUGCGUAGAUAUAUGGAAGAACACCAGUGGCGAAGGCGGCUACCUGGUCUGCAACUGACGCUGAGACUCGAAAGCAUGGGUAGCGAACAGGAUUAGAUACCCUGGUAGGAUAGC